GAUGAACGCUAGCGGCAGGCCUAAUACAUGCAAGUCGAACGAGAUUAAGAGGCUUGCUUCUUAUGAAAGUGGCGCACGGGUGCGUAACGCGUAUGCAACCUACCUUAAUCAGGGGGAUAGCCCGAAGAAAUUCGGAUUAAGACCGCAUAAAAACACAGGAUAGCAUUAUCCAAUGUUCAAAUAUUUAUAGGAUUAAGAUGGGCAUGCGUGUCAUUAGCUAGUUGGCGGGGUAACGGCCCACCAAGGCGACGAUGACUAGGGGAUCUGAGAGGACGACCCCCCACACUGGUACUGAGACACGGACCAGACUCCUACGGGAGGCAGCAGUAAGGAAUAUUGGUCAAUGGAGGGAACUCUGAACCAGCCAUGCCGCGUGCAGGAAGACAGCCCUCUGGGUCGUAAACUGCUUUUAUUCGGGAAUAAACCUUUCUACGUGUAGGAAGCUGAAUGUACCGAAGGAAUAAGGAGCGGCUAACUCCGUG
rnacentral:rRNA from 1 species